rnacentral:rRNA from 1 species
AUGGGUUCCCGAUUGUUCCUAGAUAUUUCAGAGCAACUAGAGUGGUCUUACCUGACAAGCUCCAAUGUUGUGCUGAAGUAUUUUGAACAAGCUUGUCCUUUGCCUUAUGCUGGAACAAGGCACCUUCUAUUCCCCAUGGGCACCAAGAAUGCGAAAACAUUGAUGAUUCGAGCAAAUGUAAGUUCAGGCUUCAAGAUUGAGCCGAGCGCCCUACCAGCAGAUCUGGAUAAUGCAUACAAGAAUGAGAAAGCAUAUCAGCGAUUGGAUAUUUCUAGCCCUACAGUUAACCCUUUUGUUUUUUCCUUGAUAGACACCUUCUCUGGUCUGGAGUUCCACAACAGAGAUGGCUGGAUUUUGCGGAACGGGGUGGAUGAUUUUGAAGGCGAGCUCGACGGCUGCAAUAUCAGGGAAGCCCUCCUGAACUACUGCAGUUUUAUCAACGACUAUAGUAUAUUAAGAUGUGGGCACUAUAUCGAAAGUGUUGUUCUACACCCGAGGUCAUCCCAUGACGUAGCCAUCUGCAUCUGCCUCGCCUUGAGGCCACAACAGCACCCCUGCCCUUCUGCUCCUGCUGGCGACCGCAACCCUCUGGCGGCAGCAACACCGCUCUUGUGUGCUGGCCUUGCUGUCUCAUCUCCUCUCUCUCUCAUGUUUGGUAUUGCUGUUGGAGAUGAGCUUAAGAGGCGAAAGAGUAAAGAUCUGUGGAUGUUCUGGAACCUCGAAGAUGAUGAUUUGCACUCCACAUUGGAAGGAGAAGAUGUUCUUUUAGACUUUUGUCUCGUGAGAAAUCAUGGGAUUAGCCCAAGUAUGGGCCGAGAUAGGAACGAGCCGGAGCAGGUGACGACGCGCGUGCCGCGUCAUCGCAUGCGGAGGCGAGUCCGUCACAUCCAUGACCCCACUAUCUAUCUUAGGGGGCAUAUUUAUUGGCGCUGCAAGUCCCACGACAGAGAGGCAUUAAGUGACCAUCUCCCUCGCCACCACCUGUCAGAAAACUCCUCUCCCCUUGUCGCUCGCUCUCUCCCCCCUCUCCGUCCCUCCGCUGCCUUCCUCGCCUCCAACUCCCCCCGAUUUCUCCGCCCCUGUCCCCUGCCCUCGUGCUGGAGUAACCGGCGCAUGCCCCCGCUCCUAUUUCUCCUUCAUGCCUCACUCUCUCUCGCCCAGCCCGCUCUCUUCUGCUCUGAAGCAAGGGCGGCAACUACCUGCACGGUUGCAAGGUGUGCGUGGCGUCGUGGGGGAGUGGAAGAACUGGCGCGGAUUCGUGCGUGCGGGGGUCGUCUAGAGAGGUACAAGUGCUGCCUCGCCCUAAUGCUUGCUUCUAGUUUCGCCAGAUCUGUUGAGUCCGCCUCCUGCUUGUGUGGAUUUCAUUUCCCCUUUCUUGAUUUCAGCAUUCAGAUGCAUGUUGUUCUAGUGUUUGGAGUUGCAUUCAUCAAGGCGGUUGUGUUGUCAUGGCUUCAGAACCUUCUCCAGGUUAAUACUGAUGCUCCAAUAUCUGAUGCGGCUAAAUCACCCAUUAUCCCUUUGACUGUGAUUGCCGAGGUUGCUUCGAGCCUUGAGAAUUUUUCAAGCCUCGAGGAUCUUGCUUCUGCAGCUCUUGCUUCACCUAAUGUGUCCACAGAGGAGGAAGCUGUGAACACCAUCAACGAUGUUUUAUUUGAGUUGGGUUUAUCAGAAACCCCUGCUGCUGCUGAGGAGGGGGCUCCGUCAGUCAAAGGUUGUGAUUCCAUUCCAGAUCCUUUGUGCUCUCUUCAGAUGUCAGAGACGCAGUCGCAGUCUGUUGAUGGCACUGAACAUGUCACGCAACCCGAGGAUGUGCCUGUUCAGUUUCUCCUGGAGGACCAACGUAAGAGGAAGAAGCAAGAAGAUUUUGACAAGAAGAGGGUGGCCCGCCUUGAGAAAGGUUCUGAUGUUCUUGGAUAUGUUCAUGCGGCUGAGCUCACUGUUGAGGAAGACGUGCCGUGUGACAGUGAUGGCAUGGUUGUCCCUGUUAAGAAGAAAAUCAAGAUUGCAGCGAGGAAGCUAGUAGUUGGUGACGUUACUCCUCGGAGGAGCCCACGUGUUUCAAGGCCUGCAGAAGUUGUUGAAGAUGAAUUGUUAGGCCUUGGUGAUGACAAGGAUGAUGCUGAUUUCAAUGCUAAUGAUGAGGACGACGACGAUGAUGCUGUUGCCGCUAAUCAGUAUCAGCUUGUGCAGCGGCCUGAGAGGAGGAAGAGAGGAGGCAAAACGCCCGAAGAAGUUGGCCAAGGAGGAGUUGAGGCGAAACGUUUUAACAAGACGGUUCGCUGCUCACUGAAAGAGGUCAAGACGUGUGCGAAAAUGCUACAACUUAGGCACAAGACGAGGGUUAUCAAUGCUGGUUUUGGUUGUGUGUUUGACUUGAAGGUUGAUUCCAACAUUUCUCGUCCUUUGAUGGGCAACAUCUACAUGAGGAUUGACCCUUCAACCAUGAUUUUGGACAUGGGUGAGGUGAACAAGGGCAAGCUUGGGUAUGCUAGGAGUGACGACAUCAAGACAAAGGAUUUGCGGAAUAUCCUCGCUGAACUUGUGAAGGAUGAGACGAAGGAUGAUCUUGCUCUGCAGAGUGAUGUUGUUAGGUAUCAGCAAGGUACUAGUAGAGGAAAAGCUGUCAUAGGCUAUGCCAUCACGCCGCUUCUUAUGUACCUGGACUUCCUUAUCAUUGGCAAGACGCCUAAUAUUGACUUGAGGACCCCUCGCAUCAAUUUCAUGGAUCAGGCCAAGCUUAUUGAGCUUGCUGCGGCUGACUUGGUCACGAAGGGUGAUGAUGACCCAGCCAACUGGGUGUUUGGGAGACUGCCUUGGAAGACACAGGCUGAGGUUGUGUUCUUUAGGGUUAUUGAACGUCCUGUUCUAACUAUGCCUCAUUCCACCGGCCUGGGGAGUGGAACUUCCCCAAGAUUUGAAUUCUCCCGGGAUGUUAAUACCGGUGGCGUUUCUUCCGAGAAUUUGUUUGAAGCUUCCAAUGUUUCUCUGGUUAGGAUUGAUAGUCUUCUUGAAACUGUUUGUGGGGAGUUGGCUCGUGUUCCUUCAACUGCUGAGCGUCUUAGUCGCAUUGAUGGGAUUCUUCCUCCCGGACACGGAUUUGAUGCUGAGUCUUCGAAGGGGGUCUUAUCUAUUGAAGCUAAAUUUCUUGAAGAGCUUCGUCAGAGCACUUCCCACCUCCGGACUAGCGUUGGGCUGUUCAAGGAAAUGCAGGAUGCUCGUUGCAAGCCUUUUGAAGAUGAGGCAAGUGUUGUUGUGAGACAAAUUCAGAGGCAGGAUUCUAUUCGUUCAGGUCGUGAAGGAGGCCACGUGGAGCGUACCAAAGAGGCUGUUGAUGAUGAUGCUAGGGUUGAGGAGGAUGUUUUACCUGCGCAUGAAGCUGCUCCUGUGCAUGAACCUGCUCCCGCCAGUGGCGUAAUAGUUGAUGAGGUUCAUGGCAGUGAAAAUAAGCAGCAGAAUGAUGAUGUUAGUGUUGCUCCAGAGAAGGUUGCAGACAUGUCCGUCUCAGGCACCGGCUGCUCCGACGGGGUGGUCCUGACUGAACCUCAGUCGUCCAUUGGCACUGAGGUUUCUGAUGCUGAGCAGGGCAAGACAACUGGAGACAUCAUUUUGGAGAAAGAUCAUGUUGAGCCUGCUGUUGAGACUGGUGGUAGUGCUGCUGCAAGCCCGGAGAAGUCUCCUGCAGCAGAGCCAUUAGUUGUUGUUGAUGAUGUUCAAACACAACCAAAUGUUUUUGUUGUUUUAGAUUCUCCAGCUGCCCCAGCUGCUGCUAGUGUCCUUCCCAACGACACUGCAACGUCUGCUGGAGAUGAUGACGAAGAGACCGAAAGCGAUAGCUAUGGAGAGGAGGUUGAUCAUUCCAGUGCUGCCAUUGAUAGCGACCUUGCUGUCGUCCGAAAGAAGGUUGAUGACUUUUAUUACGGUGUAACUAGGCUUAGGAAUGAUCGUUCCAAAAGAUCAAUGUUUAUGCUCCAAAACAAGGAGUGUGAAGCUUCUGUUGAAGAUGUUGCAAUAUCUUUUGGUCCUCGUGGAAUGCUUCAAUCUAAUGUGGCUGAGUGUGCACUCUACUGUCUACGUGCGAUGUACCAGGGAUCGGAUAAACUCAUCCGACCGUAUUGGGUUUGUGACAAGAUUUUCAGAGGUCAAUUUGAUUCCCGUGUGGGGAAGUACUUCAUGGCGAGUGGUCCAGAUAGCAUGGAUGCACAUGAUUUGUUUUUAAUGAUUCGUGUGUUUAUGAGGCUUCAGGUUGUUUUCCCCACUUUUGACCCGCCUGAAAUUCCUGCUUCCAUGGGAGAUGAAUGUGCGGUACGCCUGUUUCGGCGCAUGACUGACAACAUCAAGAAGUUUUGGAAGGAUGCCAGCAACGACAGGGAGACACCCUUCAGUCCUCUUACCAUCGACCAUUUCCCUCUGGAUUGGAUUGAUGUCCCCCAGCAGCAAAACAAUAUCGACUGCGGAUUCUUCAUGCUUACGAAUGUUAAUUCAUAUCAUGACGGGGUUCUUGCAAAUUAUUCACAUGAGAAUAUCGGGGAUAUCAGGAAGACGUGGCUGUACUCAAUCGCUUCUUCUAACAUGUUUGAGACAGACUUCCAAUCUCUGUUUGGCUACUACACAUUGGAUCCGUUGGAGUUGACCGAUUACCACUACUCAUUCCUCGGGUCACAGGAAUACCAACCUAGGGAGGAACCGAUGAGUACAGCUCCGAUAGAAGACGAUAGACCUUGGACCCUCAUUCCUUCCAAGUUGGGGAAGCAGGCUGGUGGUAUUCCUGGUACUCCAAAAACCCCUUGCUACAGGAAGGCUGAUGUAGUCGAAGCAGCCGAAAAUGCUAAAUGUGUUGCUGGUACUGUUGCUAGUAGAGGUGGGAAGAAUGCUGUCAUCACGAGGAGGAAACCGACAGUUGAGUCUGGGAACAUAACUUCCUCCAAGAGAGCAUCAAGAUUGCCUUUGAAGUGGCGUUCUCCUGUCGCUCCCCUGAAAAAAUACAGUUACCCUCAUCUAUCCGAGGCCCGAAAGUUGAAACAAUAUGUGCUGAGUAAAUACGGUCUGGAGAAGUAUUCUGAGACAAGCUACUGCAUGUUUACCAUCCCUGCGAAUGAUAAGCCGGAGACCUAUGAGAUAUUCACUAAUGCUGACAGGGUUGUACUUAGUCCCUACUUCAUACAGUACUGCCUGGAGUAUGAUUUCUACACCGCAAUAGUUCCAAAGUUUGAUGCAAAAAAAUCAGCUGGUCUCCUCCCAAUGUUUGUCCGCAAGGAAGAAGACCUUCUUAACACAAAGCUGGUUUUCUUGAUUCUAUUCAAGCCAAUUGGCACAACGGCGCACUACAAUGUGUAUGUGAUGAAGAGAUUUGUUGGGUUUCUUGAGGAGGUGUACGGCAAGGCUGCGUAUAAGGCGAAAAGCAGCCUAACUGGCUCUUCGUAUGAUGGUGAUGAGAUUGUUGAAGAUUUUGGUGAUGUGGAAGCUACUGCAAAUGACUGGAAGGCUGAGUUCAUGCACACUCUGAUUUUUAGCGAGAAGAAUGAAGUCAUGCGUUUAGAGCUCCCUAAAGAUAUCCAGUCCUUUGGCCUGUGA